rnacentral:rRNA from 1 species
GACGAACGCUGGCGGCGUGCUUAACACAUGCAAGUCGAACGGCAAGGCCCUGCUUUUGUGGGGUGCUCGAGUGGCGAACGGGUGAGUAACACGUGAGUAACCUGCCCUUGACUUUGGGAUAACUUCAGGAAACUGGGGCUAAUACCGUAUAGGAGCUCCUGCUGCAUGGUGGGGGUUGGAAAGUUUCGGCGGUUGGGGAUGGACUCGCGGCUUAUCAGCUUGUUGGUGGGGUAGUGGCUUACCAAGGCUUUGACGGGUAGCCGGCCUGAGAGGGUGACCGGCCACAUUGGGACUGAGAUACGGCCCAGACUCCUACGGGAGGCAGCAGUGGGGAAUAUUGCACAAUGGGCGGAAGCCUGAUGCAGCAACGCCGCGUGCGGGAUGACGGCCUUCGGGUUGUAAACCGCUUUCGCCUGUGACGAAGCGUGAGUGACGGUAAUGGGUAAAGAAGCACCGGCUAACUACGUG